GGUUGCGUGCGUUGCAAGGCAAUGGUCACACUCGGAUCAAGCUAACAUAACAUCAGUGCAAACUCUGGUGCAAAGGGACGAAGAAAAGCAGCAGGAGGAGAAGAAAGCCCUGUAAAGAGCUGCAGGUGAAGAGACAUGUAGGACCACACCUAGCACAGCAGCCGGUGAAACAGAGCAUGCAGCAGGUGAAGGAGCAACAGACACAACUCGCCCUGAUUCUGCACUACAGCCUGCAGACACUUUCUCCCCCACAACAAGUUCUGAUGUCCAUGAGUCCAUCAGGGAAGAACCGAUUGAUCCUGCUGACUGGCCAACCCUGUCUGGCCAAAGUUACUAAAAAUUAAAAUAUUCUGAGACCAUUA